rnacentral:rRNA from 1 species
GACGAACCGUGCGAACGUUGUUCGGAAUCACUGGGCUUAAAGGGCGCGUAGGCGGGGGCACAAGUCCGGGGUGAAAUCCCACGGCUCAACCGUGGAAGUGCCUUGGAUACUGUGUUUCUUGAGGAAGGUAGGGGCGUGCGGAACUUCCGGUGGAGCGGUGAAAUGCGUAGAUAUCGGAAGGAACACCGGUGGCGAAAGCGGCGCGCUGGACCUUUACUGACGCUGAGGCGCGAAAGCCAGGGGAGCAAACGGG